CCUACGGUAGGCAGCAGUGGGGAAUAUUGCACAAUGGGGGGAACCCUGAUGCAGCGACGCCGCGUGAAGGAUGAAGUAUUUCGGUACGUAAACUUCUAUCAGCAGGGAAGAAAAUGACGGUACCUGACUAAGAAGCCCCGGCUAACUACGUGCCAGCAGCCGCGGUAAUACGUAGGGGGCAAGCGACAUCCGGCUUUACUGGUUGGAAAGGGAGCGUAGACGGGCCAGCAAGGCUGAUGUGAACACGCGGGGCACAACCCCGGGAGUGCAUUGGAAACGGCGGGCCUGGAGUGCCGGAGUGGUAAGCGGAAUUCCUAGUGCAGCGGUGAAAUGAGUAGAGAUUAGGAGGAACACCAGUGGCGAAGGCGGCUUACUGGACGGUAACUGACGUUGAGGCUCGAAAGCGUGGGGAGAAAACAGGAUUAGAGACCCGAGUAGUC
rnacentral:rRNA from 1 species